rnacentral:rRNA from 1 species
GCAAGUCGAGGGGUAACAGGGGUGCUUGCACUCGCUGACGACCGGCGCACGGGUGCGUAACGCGUAUGCAACCUACCUUUAACUGGAAGAUAGCCCCGAGAAAUCGGGAUUAAUACUCCAUAACACUAAGAAGUGGCAUCACUUUUUAUUUAAAGCUCCGGCGGUUAAAGAUGGGCAUGCGUGACAUUAGUUAGUUGGUGAGGUAACGGCUCACCAAGACAUCGAUGUCUAGGGGUUCUGAGAGGAUUAAC